AAACCGCGAAUGGCUCAUUAAAUCAGCUAUGUUUCAUUGGAUCUGUAAACCCACUUACUUGGAUAACUGUGGUAAUUCUAGAGCUAAUACAUGCAUCACGUCUCUGACCGCAAGGGAAGAGCACUUUUAUUAGUUCAAAACUGGUCGGGCCUCGGUCCGUUAACCCUCCCGUGGUGAAUCUGAAUAACUUUUUGCUGAGCGCACGGUCUCCGCACCGGCGCCGCAUCCUUCAAGUGUCUGCCUUAUCAGCUUUCGAUUGUAGGUUAUGCGCCUACAAUGGCUAUAACGGGUAACGGGGAAUCAGGGUUCGAUUCCGGAGAGGGAGCCUGAGAAACGGCUACCACAUCUAAGGAAGGCAGCAGGCACGCAAAUUACCCACUCCCGGCACGGGGAGGUAGUGACGAAAAAUAACGAUGCGAGACUCAUCCGAGGCCUCGCAAUCGGAAUGAGUACACUUUAAAUCCUUUAACGAGGAUCUAUUGGAGGGCAAGUCUGGUGCCAGCAGCCGCGGUAAUUCCAGCUCCAAUAGCGUAUAUUAAAGUUGUUGCGGUUAAAAAGCUCGUAGUUGGAUCUCAGUUCCGGACUGACGGUACACCGCCUGGUGCUUACUGUCACGCUCCGAACAGCUAACUAGCCCCGCCGGCUCGCACGGGGUGCUCUUCAUCGAGUGUCCCGAGUGGCCGGCACGUUUACUUUAAAAAAAUUAGAGUGCUCAGAGCAGGCUACUUUAAUGGCCUGAAUGUCUAUGCAUGGAAUAAUGGAAUAGGACCUCGGUUCUAUUUUGUUGGUUUUCGGAACCUGAGGUAAUGACUAAUAGGAACAGGCGGGGGCAUUCGUACUGCGACGCUAGAGGUGAAAUUCUUGGACCGUCGCAAGACGAACUACUGCGAAAGCAUUUGCCAAGGAUGUUUUCAUUAAUCAAGAACGAAAGUUAGAGGUUCGAAGGCGAUCAGAUACCGCCCUAGUUCUAACCAUAAACGAUGCCAACUAGCGAUCCGCCGGCGUUAUUCCCAUGACCCGGCGGGCAGCUUCCGGGAAACCAAAGUCUUUGGGUUCCGGGGGAA
rnacentral:rRNA from 1 species